GACGAACGCUGGCGGCGUGCCUAAUACAUGCAAGUCGAGCGAGCUUGCCUAGAUGAAUUUGGUGCUUGCACCAGAUGAAACUAGAUACAAGCGAGCGGCGGACGGGUGAGUAACACGUGGGUAACCUGCCCAAGAGACUGGGAUAACACCUGGAAACAGAUGCUAAUACCGGAUAACAACACUAGACGCAUGUCUAGAGUUUAAAAGAUGGUUCUGCUAUCACUCUUGGAUGGACCUGCGGUGCAUUAGCUAGUUGGUAAGGCAACGGCUUACCAAGGCAAUGAUGCAUAGCCGAGUUGAGAGACUGAUCGGCCACAUUGGGACUGAGACACGGCCCAAACUCCUACGGGAGGCAGCAGUAGGGAAUCUUCCACAAUGGACGCAAGUCUGAUGGAGCAACGCCGCGUGAGUGAAGAAGGGUUUCGGCUCGUAAAGCUCUGUUGGUAGUGAAGAAAGAUAGAGGUAGUAACUGGCCUUUAUUUGACGGUAAUUACUUAGAAAGUCACGGCUAACUACGUG
rnacentral:rRNA from 1 species